GAUGAACGCUGGCGGCGUGCUUAACACAUGCAAGUCGAACGAAGCACUUUACUUGAUCUUUUCGGAGUGAUUGUUUUGUGACUGAGUGGCGGACGGGUGAGUAACGCGUGGGUAACCUGCCUCACACAGGGGGAUAACAGUUGGAAACGGCUGCUAAUACCGCAUAAGCGCACAGUACCGCAUGGUACGGUGUGAAAAACUCCGGUGGUGUGAGAUGGACCCGCGUCUGAUUAGCUAGUUGGCAGGGCAACGGCCUACCAAGGCGACGAUCAGUAGCCGACCUGAGAGGGUGACCGGCCACAUUGGGACUGAGACACGGCCCAAACUCCUACGGGAGGCAGCAGUGGGAAUAUUGCACAAUGGGGGAAACCCUGAUGCAGCGACGCCGCGUGAGCGAAGAAGUAUUUCGGUAUGUAAAGCUCUAUCAGCAGGGAAGAAGAAGUGACGGUACCUGACUAAGAAGCACCGGCUAAAUACGUGCCAGCCGCCGCGGUAA
rnacentral:rRNA from 1 species